UACGGAGGGUGCAAGCGUUAAUCGGAAUUACUGGGCGUAAAGCGCACGUAGGUGGUUUUCUAAGUCAGAUGUGAAAUCCCCGGGCUCAACCUGGGAACUGCAUUUGUGACUGCAUCGCUGGAGUGCGGCAGAGGGGGAUGGAAUUCCGCGUGUAGCAGGUGAAAUGCGUAGAUAUGCGGAGGAACACCGAUGGCGAAGGCAGCCCCCUGGGUCAAGAUUGACGCUCAUGCACGAAAGCGUGGGGAGCAACAGG
rnacentral:rRNA from 1 species